rnacentral:rRNA from 1 species
GCAGCGACGCCGCGUGCGGGAAGAAGGCCUUCGGGUUGUAAACCGCUUUCAGGAGGGAAGAAGCGAAAGUGACGGUACCUCCAGAAGAAGCCCCGGCCAACUACGUGCCAGCAGCCGCGGUAAUACGUAGGGGGCAAGCGUUGUCCGGAAUUAUUGGGCGUAAAGAGCUCGUAGGCGGUCCUUUAAGUCGGGUGUGAAAUCUCGGGGCUCAACCUCGAAACUGCACCCGAUACUGGAGGACUUGAGGCAGGUAGGGGAAGGUGGAAUUCCUGGUGUAGCGGUGAAAUGCGCAGAUAUCAGGAGGAACACCCGUGGCGAAGGCGGCCUUCUGGGCCUGUUCUGACGCUGAGGAGCGAAAGCGUGGGGAGCAAACAGGAUUAGAUACCCUGGUAGUCCACGCCGUAAACGAUGGGUGCUAGGUGUGGGGGGUUAUCCACUCCCUCCGUGCCGCAGCUAACGCAUUAAGCACCCCGCCUGGGGAUUACGACCGCAAGGUUA